rnacentral:tRNA from 2 species
AGAAAAGUAUUUAAAAAUUAUAAAAUCUAAUUUGCAGUUAGAAAUUGAACUAUUCCUUUUCUG